rnacentral:rRNA from 1 species
UAAUACAGAGACCUCAAGCGUUAUCCGGAAUCAUUGGGCGUAAAGCGUUCCGAUAGGUGGUUUACUAAGUUUUGGGUAAAAGCCAGAAGCUCAACUUCUGCGUUUGCUCAAGAUACUGGUAGACUAGAGGGAGAAAGAGGUGGCUGGAACCAACGGUGUAGUAGUGAAAUGCGUUGAUAUCGUUGGGAACACCGAAAGCGAAGGCAGGCCACUGGGUCUCACCUGACACUGCUAGGACGAAAGCGUGGGGAGCGAAUGGGAUUAGAUACCCCAGUAGUCCACGCUGUAAACGAUGAGUGCUAGGAAUGCGCGAGUAUCGACCCUCGUGCGAUCCGUAGCUAACGCGUUAAGCACUCCGCCUGGGGAGUACGGUCGCAAGACUA